rnacentral:lncRNA from 1 species
GUUCAGCCCGAUUUGAGGGGAGGGCAAAUCGACUCCCUCUGUCCGUGAGAAGGGUUGCCAAGCCUUAUUACAGAGGGCGUGGACACAGGGAGGAGUGAAGAAUCGUGGUCGUUUCUGCAAUCUCCCGCAGAAAGGGCACAUGAAUCAAUGCAGACCUCUCUCCACUGCAACAAAGAAAGUCUUCAUGCGCUCAUUCAAACGCAGGCAUUGUCCCAGGGUGAAACUUAAUAUCCAUUUUAAUCUGACCUCAAAUGGAUAAAGCUGGAUCCUGGAGUGAGGCAGACUCUGUUCAAACCCGUGCUGCACAACCUGCGGGCUGUGAGAUGUGACCUUGGGC